AUUGAACGCUGGCGGCAGGCCUAACACAUGCCAGUCGAGCGGAUGAAGGGAGCUUGCUCCUGGAUUCAGCGGCGGACGGGUGAGUAAUGCCUAGGAAUCUGCCUGGUAGUGGGGGAUAACGUCCGGAAACGGGCGCUAAUACCGCAUACGUCCUGAGGGAGAAAGUGGGGGAUCUUCGGACCUCACGCUAUCAGAUGAGCCUAGGUCGGAUUAGCUAGUUGGUGGGGUAAAGGCCUACCAAGGCGACGAUCCGUAACUGGUCUGAGAGGAUGAUCAGUCACACUGGAAUUGAGACACGGUCCAGACUCCUACGGGAGGCAGCAGUGGGGAAUAUUGGACAAUGGGCGAAAGCCUGAUCCAGCCAUGCCGCGUGUGUGAAGAAGGUCUUCGGAUUGUAAAGCACUUUAAGUUGGGAGGAAGGGCAGUAAGUUAAUACCUUGCUGUUUUGACGUUACCAACAGAAUAAGCACCGGCUAACUUCGUG
rnacentral:rRNA from 1 species